rnacentral:rRNA from 1 species
UACGUAGGGUGCAAGCGUUGUCCGGAAUCAUUGGGCGUAAAGCGCGUGUAGGCGGCCCGGUAAGUCCGCUGUGAAAGUCCAGGGCUCAACCCUGGAAUGCCGGUGGAUACUGUCGGGCUCGAGUCCGGAAGAGGCGAGUGGAAUUCCUGGUGUAGCGGUGAAAUGCGCAGAUAUCGGGGAAGAACACCUAUGGCGAAGGCAGCUCUCUGGGACGGUACUGACGCUGAGACGCGAAAGCGUGGGGAGCGAACAGG